CCUGUUUGUCUACUACAUUGCUAUGUUAGUCUCCUACAUUACCCUGUUAGUAUCCUACCCUACCCUGUUAGUCUUCUACAUUACCCUAUUGUCUGUUAGUCUACUACAUUACCAUGUUAGUCUACCCUAUUAGUCUACUACACUACCCUGUUAGUCUACCCUGUUAGUUUAAUACAUUAUCCUGUUAGUCUACUACAUUGCCAUGUUAUCUGCCCUGUUAGUCUACUACAUUACCCUGUUGUCUAACCUGUUAGUCUACUACAUUGCCAUGUUAUCUAUCAUGUUAGUCUGCUACAUUACCCCGUUAGUCUACUACACUACCAUGUUAGUCUAAUACAUUACCCUGUUGUCUAACCUAUUUGUUUACUACAUUACCAUGUUAGUCUACUGCAUUAUCAUGUUAGUAUACUACAUUACCCUGUUUGUCUACCAAAUUACCUUGUUAGUCUGCUACAUUACUAUGUGUGUAAAUCUUUGGCCUAAAUUAGUUUAUUCUGUCAGGAAGACCUCGAAUGAACCUCACUAGUAUACAUGUUUUAUAUGAAUUUUAAGCAAUGUUGACAGGAAAGUUUCCAGUAUAUGUUUUCUAAUAUCCCUAGCUACUGGUUUGUAUGGAUUUUAUACCUAUCUGUGAUGCUCUAAGGCAGAGUAAAAGGUUCAGAACAGUAUUUUUACACAGAAGACGGUGCUAUUUCACUAAAGCCAUCUGUACAGAGCAACCCUACGCCUAAACCUAACCCUAAAACCUAGCACUUAACCUAAGCUUAAACCUAGCACUAAAACUAAACCUACACGUAAACCUAGCUAACACUAAUGCCUUGGGAUAAUGCCAUGGUCCAAUAGCGCACGCAGGCACGCGCACACACACACACACACGUGUACCACAGAUACAGGAAAUUCCAUAGUCACAUGACAGGGUACAGGAAGUUCCAGUUAGUCCAGUAGGGAAAGGCACCAGCAUGGUUCAUCUGCAAUGUUUUAACAUGCAUUGUCAUAUAAAACAUUGAACCUCAUAAUCAAAUUUGUUCAGUCUUAUUUUUAUCUUCCUUCCAAAAUGUUUUUUAUUGUGCAGGAUUGCGCCCUCCCCUGUACUGGGUUAGGAUAGUACCCUCCCCCUGUACUGGGUUAGGAUGGUGCCUCCCCUGUACUGGGUUAGGAUAUACCCUCCCCUGUACUGGGUUAGGAUAGUACCCUCCCCUGUACUGG
ensembl:lncRNA